rnacentral:rRNA from 1 species
GAUGAACGCUGGCGGCGUGCCUAAUACAUGCAAGUCGAGCGAACAGACGAGGAGCUUGCUCCUCUGACGUUAGCGGCGGACGGGUGAGUAACACGUGGAUAACCUACCUAUAAGACUGGGAUAACUUCGGGAAACCGGAGCUAAUACCGGAUAAUAUAUUGAACCGCAUGGUUCAAUAGUGAAAGACGGUUUUGCUGUCACUUAUAGAUGGAUCCGCGCCGCAUUAGCUAGUUGGUAAGGUAACGGCUUACCAAGGCAACGAUGCGUAGCCGACCUGAGAGGGUGAUCGGCCACACUGGAACUGGGACGCGGUCCAGACUCCUACGGGAGGCAGCAGUAGGGAAUCUUACGCAAUGGGCGAAAGCCUGACGGAGCAACGCCGCGUGAGUGAUGAAGGUCUUCGGAUCGUAAAGCUCUGUUAUUAGGGAAGAACAAAUGUGUAAGUAACUAUGCACGUCUUGACGGUACCUAAUCAGAAAGCCACGGCUAACUACGUG